rnacentral:rRNA from 1 species
UACAGAGGUCCCAAGCGUUGUUCGGAUUUACUGGGCGUAAAGGGUGCGUAGGAGGUUGGCAAAGUCGGAUGUGAAAUCUCACCGCUUAACGGUGAAAUUGCGUUCGAUACUGGUUGACUAGAGUAUCGGAGGGGAAAGCGGAAUUCCUGGUGUAGCGGUGAAAUGCGUAGAUAUCAGGAGGAACACCAACGGCGAAGGCAGCUUUCUGGACGAUAACUGACUCUGAGGCACGAAGGCUAGGGGAGCGAACGGG